GCUGGGCUGAUGAUUUAUGUCAUAGGGUCAUAGGCUUAGCUGGAAAGGACUCAGAGAUCAUCUGAUUCAGCCUCCUCAUUUUACAAAUAAAGAAACCAAGGCACAGAGAAGUGAAGUUUCUUUCUAAAAAUCACAGAGCUGAUGAAGAAACCAUCAAUGGAAAUGAUUGUCUAUUGUCAAUCAGCCAGAAUUCCCGAGUCCCAUUUUUCUUACUGUGAGGAAAGAAGAAAAAACAAGAUGAAGGGACAGUAGAGAUAAAAGCAUUAAAGACUGCAUUGUCUCACUCCCUAACUUUUUGGAGAAAAAAUCAAGGAGGAGAGGGAUUUGAAUCUUGAUAUAAAUUUAUCUGUACCUCAGGUUCUCCAAGAGGACUAUGGGAUAUCUAAGGUACCCUGUGGGGAAAACCUGCAAAGGAACCUAGAGGCAAGACAUCUGAUCAUCCCUGCUCUGCUUGGAGCUGGAGAUGGCUCUCUCAAAAACUACACAAAAAUCCCAGCAACUCGUAGCGCUAGGACUUCAUCAGGAAAUAUAACCCUUGGUCUACUCAACUUUAAGCCUUGGCUCUGCCGUUUAUCAACUGGUCAAGUAACUUUGGCUUUUGGUAUCUCUCCUUAUAUGCAAGAUAAGAUAUGAACCUAUAGGAUAUACCUCUCAGAGUUGUUGUAAAGUUCAAGUGAUCUAUCACACAGUCUCUCUCUCUGUGUGUGUCUGUCUUUCCAUCUAUCCAUCCAUCCAUCCAUCCAGCUAGCUAGCUAUCCUUAUCCUUAUAUCUGUCUCUUGGCAAACUUUAAAACCUGGCAGCUAAAGCUCCAGCAUGGCACUCAAAAUUCUCCAAUUUAUCCAUUUAGUCUUCUUUCAUAUUUCUUCUCUUCACACUCUCAACAUUCUAGUCCAAUUAACGUGCCAGCUAUUCUCUAUAAAUGGUAUUUCAUCACCUGUUUACCCACCUUUGAACUGGCAGUGCCCAUGUCUAGAAUGUACUCCCUCUUCAUCAUCUCUUAAAGUCCCUAAAUCCCUUUAAGGACAGUUCAGACUCUACUUCCUAAAUAAGCAGCUCUUCUGGAUUUCCCUAUGAUCUUAGUGUCCCGUCUUCCCUUUCUCCCCUUCCUCUUCUCUUAUCAAUAGUUAUAACUAAACUUUGGGUUUGUUUGUGUACAUGUUGUUCCUUGUGGCAGAAUGUAAGCUCUGUAAGGUCAAAACUGUUUCUUUUUUCUUUUUUUUUUUUUGUCUCCUCAUUGCCUUCACAGUGACUAGCACAUGGUAGGUUCUCAAUAAAGAUUUAUUAUAUUGAAAAUGGUAUACAAAUGUCAAGAGAAG
rnacentral:lncRNA from 1 species